CCUACGGGUGGCAGCAGUGAGGAAUAUUGGUCAAUGGGCGCGAGCCUGAACCAGCCAAGUAGCGUGAAGGAUGACUGCCCACCGGUUGUAAACUUCUUUUUUUAAGGAAUUAAGUUAGGCCCGUUUUCCUUUUUUUAUUUUCUUUUUUAAUUAGGGUCGGCGAACUCCGUUCCAGCAGCCGCCGUAAUACGGAGGAUCCGAGCGUUAUCCGGAUUUUUUUGGUUUAAAGGGAGCGUAGAUGGGUUGUUAAGUCAGUUGUGAAAGUUUGCGGCUCAACCGUAAAAUUGCAAUUGAUACUGGCAGUCUUGAGUACAGUUGAGGUAGGCGGAAUUCGUGGUGUAGCGGUGAAAUGCUUAGAUAUCACGAAGAACUCCGAUUGCGAAGGCAGCUUACUAAACUGCCACUGACAUUGAUGCUCGAAAGUGUGGGUAUCAAACAGGAUUAGAUACCCUAGUAGUC
rnacentral:rRNA from 1 species